rnacentral:rRNA from 1 species
UACGUAGGUGGCAAGCGUUGUCCGGAAUUAUUGGGCGUAAAGCGCGCGCAGGCGGUCUCUUAAGUCUGAUAUGAAAUCCCGUGGCUUAACCACGGGCGGUCAUUGGAAACUGGGGGACUUGAGUGCAGAAGAGAAGAGCGGAAUUCCACGUGUAGCGGUGAAAUGCGUAGAGAUGUGGAGGAACACCAGUGGCGAAGGCGGCUCUUUGGUCUGUAACUGACGCUGAGGCGCGAAAGCGUGGGGAGCGAACAGG